rnacentral:rRNA from 1 species
CAAUAGCGUAUAUUAAAGUUGUUGCGGUUAAAAAGCUCGUAGUUGGAUUUCUGCCGAGGACGACCGGUCCGCCCUCUGGGUGUGUAUCUGGUUUGGCCUGGGCAUCUUCUUGGAGAACGUAGCUGCACUUGACUGUGUGGUGCGGUGUCCAGGACUUUUACUUUGAGGAAAUUAGAGUGUUUCAAGCAGGCACACGCCUUGAAUACAUUAGCAUGGAAUAAUAAGAUAGGACCUCGGUUCUAUUUUGUUGGUUUCUAGAGCUGAAGUAAUGGUUAAUAGGAAUAGUUGGGGGCAUUCGUAUUUAACUGUCAGAGGUGAAAUUCUUGGAUUUGUUAAAGACGAACUACUGCGAAAGCAUUUGCCAAGGAUGUUUUCAUUGA